UUGAACGCUAGCGGCAGGCUUAAUACAUGCAAGUCGUGGGACGAUAGCAAUAUUGGACCGGCAAACGGGUGCGUAACACGUACACAACUUUCCGUCAAGUGGGGGAUAGCCUAAAGAAAUUUGGAUUAAUACCCCAUAGCAUAGUGAUAUGGCAUCAUAUUACUAUAAAGCUCCGGGCGCUUGAUGAUGGGUGUGCGGCUGAUUAGGUAGUUGGCGGCUGGGGUAACGGCCCACCAAGCCUACGAUCAGUAGCUGAUGUGAGAGCAUGAUCAGCCACACGGGCACUGAGACACGGGCCUCGACUCCUACGGGAGGCAGCAGUAAGGAAUAUUGGUCAAUGGGCGCAAGCCUGAACCAGCCAUGCCGCGUGGAGGAUGAAGGUCCUCUGGAUUGUAAACUUCUUUUAUUGGGACGAAAAAAGGGAAUUCAUCUUCUCGCUUGACGGUACCAGAUGAAUAAGCACCGGCUAACUCCGUGCCAGCAGCCGCGGUAAUACGGAGGGUGCAAGCGUUAUCCGGAUUCACUGGGUUUAAAGGGUGCGUAGGCGGGCCAGGUAAGUCAGUGGUGAAAUCUUUGGGCUUAACCCGAAAACUGCCAUUGAUACUAUCUGUCUUGAAUAUUGUGGAGGUUAGCGGAAUAUGUCAUGUAGCGGUGAAAUGCUUAGAUAUGACAUAGAACACCUAUUGCGAAGGCAGCUAACUACGCAUAUAUUGACGCUGAGGCACGAAAGCGUAGGGGAUCAAACAGGAUUAGAUACCCUGGUAGUCCACGCCCCUAAACGAUGGAUACUCGACAUACGCGAUACACUGUGCUGUGUCUGAGCGAAAGCAUUAAGUAUCCCCACCUGGGAAGUACGACCGCAAGGUUGAAACUCAAAGGAAUUGGGCGGGGGUCCCGCCGACAAGCGGUGGAGCAUUGUGGUUUAAUUCGAUGAUACGCGAGGAACCUUACCUGGGCUAGAAUGCGGUUGGACCGUUCCUGAAAGGGAAUUUUGUAGCAAUACACAGAUCGUAAGGUGCUGCAUGGCUGUCGUCAGCUCGUGCCGUGAGGUGUUGGGUUAAGUCCCCGCAACGAGCGCAACCCCUAUCUUUAGUUGCCAUCAGGUAAAGCUGGGACACUCUAAAGAAACUAGCCGUCGUAAGACGCGAGGAAGGAGGGGAUGAUGUCAAGUCAUCAUGGCCUUUAUGCCCAGGGCUACACUACGUGCCUACAAUGGGGGGUACAAAGGGCUGCCACUCUGGCAACAAGGCGCUAUAUCCCAAAAAACCUCUCUCAGUUCAGAUUGCAGGCUGCAACUCGCCUGCAUGAAGCUGCGAAUCGCUAGUAAUCGUAUAUCAGCAAUGAUACGGUGAAUACGUUCCCGGACCCACCUUGCACACACCGCCCCGUCAAGCCAUGGGAGCCGGGUGUACCUAAAGUCGGUAACCGAAAGGAGCUGCCUAGGGUAAAAUCGGUGACUGCGGGCU
rnacentral:rRNA from 1 species